rnacentral:rRNA from 1 species
GACGAACGCUGGCGGCGUGCUUAACACAUGCAAGUCGAACGGAAAGGCCCUGCUUUUGUGGGGUGCUCGAGUGGCGAACGGGUGAGUAACACGUGAGUAACCUGCCCUUGACUUUGGGAUAACUUCAGGAAACUGGGGCUAAUACCGGAUAGGAGCUCCUGCUGCAUGGUGGGGGUUGGAAAGUUUCGGCGGUUGGGGAUGGACUCGCGGCUUAUCAGCUUGUUGGUGGGGUAGUGGCUUACCAAGGCUUUGACGGGUAGCCGGCCUGAGAGGGUGACCGGCCACAUUGGGACUGAGAUACGGCCCAGACUCCCACGGGAGGCAGCAGUGGGGAAUAUUGCACAAUGGGCGGAAGCCUGAUGCAGCAACGCCGCGUGCGGGAUGACGGCCUUCGGGUUGUAAACCGCUUUCGCCUGUGACGAAGCGUGAGUGGCGGUAAUGGGUAAAGAAGCACCGGCUAACUACGUG